UGGGGAAUAUUGCACAAUGGGCGCAAGCCUGAUGCAGCCAUGCCGCGUGUGUGAAGAAGGCCUUCGGGUUGUAAAGUACUUUCAGUCGGGAGGAAGGUGGUAAGGUUAAUAACCUUAUCAAUUGACGUUACCGACAGAAGAAGCACCGGCUAACUCCGUGCCAGCAGCCGCGGUAAUACGGAGGGUGCAAGCGUUAAUCGGAAUUACUGGGCGUAAAGCGCACGCAGGCGGUUGAUUGAGUCAGAUGUGAAAUCCCCGGGCUUAACCCGGGAAUUGCAUCUGAUACUGGUCAGCUAGAGUCUUGUAGAGGGGGGUAGAAUUCCAUGUGUAGCGAUGAAAUGCGUAGAGAUGUGGAGGAAUACCGGUGGCGAAGGCGGCCCCCUGGACAAAGACUGACGCUCAGGUGCGAAAGCGUGGGGAGCAAACAGG
rnacentral:rRNA from 1 species